GUGAGGAAUUUUCCGCAAUGGGCGAAAGCCUGACGGAGCAAUGCCGCGUGAAGGAUGAAGGCCUAUGGGUUGUAAACUUCUUUUCUCAGAAAAGAAUUAUGACGGUAUCUGAGGAAUAAGCAUCGGCUAACUCUGUGCCAGCAGCCGCGGUAAGACAGAGGAUGCAAGCGUUAUCCGGAAUGAUUGGGCGUAAAGCGUCUGUAGGUUGUUUAAAAAGUAUUCUGUCAAAGAUUAGGGCUUAACCCUAGAUAGGCAGAAUAAACUUUUAAGCUAGAGUUUGGUAGAGGCAGAGAGAAGUCCCGGUGGAGCGGUGAAAUGCGUAGAUAUCGGGAGGAACGCCAAAGGCGAAGGCACUCUGCUGGGCCAAUACUAACACUGAGAGACGAAAGCGAGGGGAGCAAAUGGGAUUAGAAACCCCAGUAGUCC
rnacentral:rRNA from 1 species